UACGGAGGGGGCUAGCGUUGUUCGGAAUUACUGGGCGUAAGCGCGCGUAGGCGGACCUGCAAGUCGGGGGUGAAAGCCCGAGGCUCAACCUCGGAACUGCCUUCGAUACUGCGGGUCUCGAGUCCUGGAGAGGUGAGUGGAAUUCCUAGUGUAGAGGUGAAAUUCGUAGAUAUUAGGAAGAACACCAGUGGCGAAGGCGGCUCACUGGCCCGGUACUGACGCUGAGGCGCGAAAGCGUGGGGAGCAAACAGG
rnacentral:rRNA from 1 species